GUUGAAAAGUGAGCGGAUGAACUGAGGGUAGCGGAGAAAUUCCAAUCGAACCUGGAGAUAGCUGGUUCUCUCCGAAAUAGCUUUAGGGCUAGCCUCAAGUGAUGAUUAUUGGAGGUAGAGCACUGUUUGGACGAGGGGCCCCUCUCGGGUUACCGAAUUCAGACAAACUCCGAAUGCCAAUUAAUUUAACUUGGGAGUCAGAACAUGGGUGAUAAGGUCCGUGUUCGAAAGGGAAACAGCCCAGACCACCAGCUAAGGUCCCAAAAUAUAUGUUAAGUGGAAAAGGAUGUGGCGUUGCCCAGACAACUAGGAUGUUGGCUUAGAAGCAGCCAUCAUUUAAAGAGUGCGUAAUAGCUCACUAGUCGAGUGACACUGCGCCGAAAAUGUACCGGGGCUAAACAUAUUACCGAAGCUGUGGAUUGUCCUUUGGACAAUGGUAGGAGAGCGUUCUAAGGGCGUUGAAGCAUGAUCGUAAGGACAUGUGGAGCGCUUAGAAGUGAGAAUGCCGGUGUGAGUAGCGAAAGACGGGUGAGAAUCCCGUCCACCGAUUGACUAAGGUUUCCAGAGGAAGGCUCGUCCGCUCUGGGUUAGUCGG
rnacentral:rRNA from 1 species